AGAGUUUGAUCAUGGCUCAGAUUGAACGCUGGCGGCAUGCCUAACACAUGCAAGUCGAACGGUAACAGGCCGCAAGGUGCUGACGAGUGGCGGACGGGUGAGUAAUACGUAGGUAUCUGCCCUGUAGUGGGGGAUAACCCGGGGAAACUCGGGCUAAUACCGCAUACGCUCUUUUAUCGAUGAGAUAGGAGAGGAAAGCGAGGGACCGAAAGGCCUCGCGCUAGAGGAUGAGCCUACGUCCGAUUAGCUAGUUGGUAGGGUAAAGGCCUACCAAGGCGACGAUCGGUAGCUGGUCUGAGAGGAUGGCCAGCCACACUGGGACUGAGACACGGCCCAGACUCCUACGGGAGGCAGCAGUGGGGAAUCUUGGGCAAUGGGGGCAACCCUGACCCAGCGACGCCGCGUGGGGGACGAAGGCCUUCGGGUUGUAAACCCCUGUUAGGUGGGACGAACCGCCUCUGGCAAAGACCCGGAGGCGCUGACGGUACCACCAGAGAAAGCCCCGGCUAACUCCGUGCCAGCAGCCGCGGUAAUACGGAGGGGGCGAGUGUUGUUCGGAAUUACUGGGCGUAAAGCGCGCGUAGGCGGCUUUGUAAGUUAGAGGUGAAAGCCCGGGGCUCAACUCCGGAACUGCCUUUAAGACUGCAUCGCUUGAAUCCGGGAGAGGUGAGUGGAAUUCCGAGUGUAGAGGUGAAAUUCGUAGAUAUUCGGAAGAACACCAGUGGCGAAGGCGGCUCACUGGACCGGUAUUGACGCUGAGGUGCGAAAGCGUGGGGAGCAAACAGGAUUAGAUACCCCCGUAGUCC
rnacentral:rRNA from 1 species